rnacentral:rRNA from 1 species
AUUGAACGCUGGCGGCAGGCCUAACACAUGCAAGUCGAACGGUAGCACAGAGAGCUUGCUCUCGGGUGACGAGUGGCGGACGGGUGAGUAAUGUCUGGGAAACUGCCUGAUGGAGGGGGAUAACUACUGGAAACGGUAGCUAAUACCGCAUAACGUCGCAAGACCAAAGAGGGGGACCUUCGGGCCUCUUGCCAUCAGAUGUGCCCAGAUGGGAUUAGCUAGUAGGUGGGGUAACGGCUCACCUAGGCGACGAUCCCUAGCUGGGCUGAGAGGAUGACCAGACACACGGGAACUGAGACACGGUCCAGACUCCUACGGGAGGCAUCAGUGGGGAAUAUUGCACACUGGGCGCAAGCCUGAUGCAGCCAUGCCGCGUGUAUGAAGAAGGCCUUAGGGUUGUAAAGUACUUUCAGCGGGGAGGAAGGGAGUAAGGUUAAUAACCUUAUUCAUUGACGUUACCCGCAGAAGAAGCACCGGCUAACUCCGUGCCAGCCGCCGCAGUAA